rnacentral:rRNA from 1 species
CAGCCGCCGCGGUAAUACCGGCGGCCCGAGUGGCGGCCACUAUUAUUGGGCUUAAAGCGUCCGUAGCCGGGUUGGUUAGUCUCCCGGGAAAUCUGGCCGCUUAACGGUCAGAAUUCCGGGCGAUACUGCCAGCCUAGGGACCGGGAGAGGCCGAGGGUAUUCCCGGAGUAGGGGUGAAAUCCUAUAAUCCCAGGGGGACCGCCAGUGGCGAAGGCGCCCCGCUGGAACGGGUCCGACGGUGAGGGACGAAGGCCAGGGGAGCAAACCGGAUUAGAUACCCGGGUAGUCCUGGCGGUAAAGGAUGCGGGCUAGGUGUCGGGUGAGCUUCGAGCUCGCCCGGUGCCGUAGGGAAGCCGUUAAGCCCGCCGCCUGGGGAGUACGGCCGCAAGGCUGAAACUUAAAGGAAUUGGCGGG